rnacentral:rRNA from 1 species
UACAGAGGGUGCGAGCGUUGUCCGGAAUCACUGGGCGUAAAGGGCGCGUAGGUGGCCACCAUAAGGCCGCGGUGAAAGUCUGGGGCUCAACCCCGGAUCGGCCGCGGCGACUGUGGGGCGUAGGGUACCGUAGAGGCAGAUGGAAUUCCGGGUGUAGCGGUGGAAUGCGUAGAGAUCGGGAAGAACAUCGAGGUGGCGAAGGCGGUCGUGCUGGGCCGUUGCUGACGCUGAGGCGCGACAGCGGUGGGGAGCAAAC